rnacentral:sRNA from 1 species
CAGCCCCGGCGUCCGCCCCGCUGCCCCCUCCCCCGGGGGCCAUGGGGGCGCCCCCGGGCUACCGGCCCUCAGCUUGGGUGCAUCUCCUCCACCAGCUGCCCCGCGCCGACUUCCAGCUCCGCCCGGUGCCCAGCGUUUUCGCGCCCCAAGAGCAGGAAUACCAGCAGGAUGAGAGCAGGUGAAUAUGUCCCAGAUAAGGUGGGACCCAGGAGACAGCGGACCUGAUAACGGUGGAGGGGAAAACGCUGGCUUCUGCGGUGCUGGGAUGGGAUUGAGAGUCUGAAAUGGGGAAGGGGGCUCCAAGGGCUGAGGGCCAGGGCUGGAAAAUGAAGGGGCUCUGGGAGAGGAAGCUUGUUGCCCGUCCCAAGAAAGAAGGGGCGGUCAGGGCGCUGCAGGGGUGAGGGCCGAGAUGAGGCUGGGUUCGGGGAGCCUCGGGAUGACAGACCCGGGUCCCGAGGGUGGGGCCGGUGUGGGAACCUCACAGAAGCCGGGGUCCCUGGGGAAGGGGCCCGGCUCGGGGCAGCUCCAAUGGGCGAAAGAGCUGUCCCCUGACCCAGUUUAACUCAAGUCCUUGACUUUGAGAUUAAUGAGAAAGGCUUUGCUGAGCUGGGGACGGGUGGGGGUGCUGGGAGUCCCGAUGUGGCCCCAGGACGGGUCCUGGCCCUGCCGGUGGGGCCUAGCCCCUGGGCUCCGUCCUGGGUUGCUCCUGCGAAAGCGGGGCUGGGAUUGGAGAGCUCAGGGGGCGUGGAGGGGUCCCAGAAAAGCGCGGAGGGGAUGAGUGCUGUGUUCUGAGCUAUUUGGGUCAUGGCUGGCACAGCCCUGAGCAGCUCUUCCCCGCCUGCUUCUCGCCGCCCCCUCUCCCCACACACGGGGACGGCCGUCCCCUCGCCCACAGCCUCGCGGUUACACAACGGCCACCUCCAACGCCACCGCUCCACCGGCUCCGGCCUCGGCCCAGACUCACGCCCGCUCUGGCCCGGAGACCUCCCGAAGCCGCAUGCGGGGAUCCGUGGCCCCAGUCACCGCCAGAGGCCUUGUUGCUGGUGGCGGCCUUGGCGGGCCUGGGCUUGGGCCUGAGCCUCAUUUUCAUCGCUGUCUACCUCAUCCGUUUCUGCUGCUGCCGGCCCCCCGAGCCCCCCGGGUCCAAGAUCCCCUCGCCCGGGGGAGGCUGCGUCACCUGGAGCUGCAUUGUUGCCCUUCUCGCCGGCUGCACUGGCAUUGGCAUCGGUUUCUAUGGCAACAGUGAGACCAGUGAUGGGGUGUCCCAGCUCAGCUCCGCGCUGCUGCACGCCAACCACACACUCAGCACCAUUGACCACCUGGUGUUAGAGACGGUGGAGAGGCUGGGCGAGGCGGUGAGGACAGAGCUGACCACCCUGGAGGAGGUGCUCGAGCCGCGCACGGAGCUGGUGGCUGCCGCCCGAGGGGCUCGGCGGCAGGCGGAGGCUGUGGCCCAGCAGCUGCAGGGGCUGGCCUUCUGGCAGGGAGUGCCCCUGAGCCCCCUGCAGGUGGCUGAAGAUGUGUCGUUCGUGGAGGAGUACAGGUGGCUGGCCUACGUCCUCCUGCUGCUCCUGGAGCUGCUGGUCUGCCUCUUCACCCUCCUGGGCCUGGCGAAGCAGAGCAAGUGGCUGGUGAUCGUGAUGACAGUCAUGAGUCUCCUGGUUCUCGUCCUGAGCUGGGGCUCCAUGGGCCUGGAGGCAGCCACGGCCGUGGGCCUCAGUGACUUCUGCUCCAAUCCAGACCCUUAUGUUCUGAACCUGACCCAGGAGGAAACAGGGCUCAGCUCAGACAUCCUGAGCUAUUAUUUCCUCUGCAACCAGGCCGUCUCCAACCCCUUCCAACAGAGGCUGACUCUGUCCCAGCGAGCUCUGGCCAACAUCCACUCCCAGCUGCUGGGCCUGGAGCGAGAAGCUGUGCCUCAGUUCCCUUCAGCGCAGAAGCCUCUGCUGUCCUUGGAGGAGACUCUGAAUGUGACAGAAGGAAAUUUCCACCAGUUGGUGGCACUGCUACACUGCCGCGGCCUGCACAAGGACUAUGGCGCAGCCCUGCGGGGCCUGUGCGAAGACGCCCUGGAAGGCCUGCUCUUCCUGCUGCUCUUCUCCCUGCUGUCCGCAGGAGCGCUGGCCACUGCCCUCUGCAGCCUGCCCCGAGCCUGGGCCCUCUUCCCACCCAGUGACGACUACGAUGACACAGACGAUGACGACCCUUUCAACCCUCAGGAAUCCAAGCGCUUUGUGCAGUGGCAGUCGUCUAUCUGAGCCCCUCCUCCCGGCUGGACUGGAGCCUGGCUCCCCUCUUCGUUCCUUCCCUGGCUGCCGGAGGAGACCCCACUAACCCAGCCUGCCUGGGCUCUGACCACUAACACUCUUGGCCACGGACAGCCCGCACAGGACCGCCUCCCUGCCCUUGGCCACUGUGCCCCCGUCUCUGUCCUUGGCCUUGGGAGUAGCUGAGGGGGCAGACUAGGGAGUAGGGCUGGCAGGGGAGGGGGCAGACAGCCUCGCACCCUUCAUCCCUGGCUGCCAGUCCCAUCCUUGGAGGGACUAAGCUGGGGGCGGGGGACAUGAGUCCCCCUGCUGCCCCUGCCACGUCCCAGUGGGCUCUGACCCCCUGAUCUCAACUUGUGGCACUAACUUGGAAAAGGGUUGAUUUAAAAUAAAAGGGAAGACUAUUUUACAAGCA